AAUGAACGCUGGCGGCAGGCCUAACACAUGCAAGUCGAACGGAUCCUUCGGGAUUAGUGGCGGACGGGUGAGUAACGCGUGGGAACGUGCCCUUUGGUUCGGAAUAGCCUCGGGAAACUGGGAGUAAUACCGGAUAAGCCCUUCGGGGGAAAGAUUUAUCGCCAAAGGAUCGGCCCGCGUUGGAUUAGGUAGUUGGUGGGGUAAUGGCCUACCAAGCCGACGACCCAUAGCUGGUUUGAGAGGAUGAUCAGCCACACUGGGACUGAGACACGGCCCAGACUCCUACGGGAGGCAGCAGUGGGGAAUCUUAGACAAUGGGGGAAACCCUGAUCUAGCCAUGCCGCGUGAUCGAUGAAGGCCUUAGGGUUGUAAAGAUCUUUCAGUUGGGAAGAUAAUGACGGUACCAACAGAAGAAGCCCCGGCUAACUCCGUGCCAGCAGCCGCAGUAACAC
rnacentral:rRNA from 1 species